UACGUAGGGUGCGAGCGUUGUCCGGAAUUACUGGGCGUAAAGCGCACGUAGGCGGACUCUUAAGUCGGUGGUGAAAUCCUGGAGCUCAACUCCAGAACUGCCUUCGAUACUGAGAGUCUCGAGUCCGGGAGAGGUGAGUGGAACUGCGAGUGUAGAGGUGAAAUUCGUAGAUAUUCGCAAGAACACCAGUGGCGAAGGCGGCUCACUGGCCCGGUACUGACGCUGAGGUGCGAAAGCGUGGGGAGCAAACAGG
rnacentral:rRNA from 1 species